GAUGAACGCUGGCGGCGUGCCUAAUACAUGCAAGUCGAGCGAACGGACGAGAAGCUUGCUUCUCUGAUGUUAGCGGCGGACGGGUGAGUAACACGUGGAUAACCUACCUAUAAGACUGGGAUAACUUCGGGAAACCGGAGCUAAUACCGGAUAAUAUUUUGAACCGCAUGGUUCAAAAGUAAAAGACGGUCUUGCUGUCACUUAUAGAUGGAUCCGCGCUGCAUUAGCUAGUUGGUAAGGUAACGGCUUACCAAGGCAACGAUGCGUAGCCGACCUGAGAGGGUGAUCGGCCACACUGGAACUGAGACACGGUCCAGACUCCUACGGGAGGCAGCAGUAGGGAAUCUUCCGCAAUGGGCGAAAGCCUGACGGAGCAACGCCGCGUGAGUGAUGAAGGUCUUCGGAUCGUAAAACUCUGUUAUUAGGGAAGAACAUAUGCGUAAGUAACUGUGCACAUCUUGACGGUACCUAAUCAGAAAGCCACGGCUAACUACGUG
rnacentral:rRNA from 1 species